UACGUAGGGGGCAAGCGUUGUCCGGAUUUAUUGGGCGUAAAGAGCGUGUAGGCGGCCUGACAGGUCUGCUGUGAAAACUCGAGGCUCAACCUCGAGAUGUCGGCGGAAACCGUCUGGCUAGAGUCCGGAAGAGGAGAGUGGAAUUCCUGGUGUAGCGGUGAAAUGCGCAGAUAUCAGGAAGAACACCUAUGGCGAAGGCAGUUCUCUGGGCAUGUCCUGACGCUGAGGAGCGAAAGUGUGGGGAGCGAACAGG
rnacentral:rRNA from 1 species